GAAAAACGCGUGGGGGUUUGGCUGGGCCUCUCACACACGCAACAUCUCUCGUUUUGUCUCCCCACUCACCGUCUAGGGUUGGCGCCGCCGCCGCCGCCGACGACCUGCCGCCCCAGCGCUCCUCCCACGCUGGCCACCGAUGGAAUGCCCGCUUCUCCCCCUGGUCUUCUGGCAUCCUCGUAGCAAGCUACGGCGCUGCUCCUCCCUACGACACCGAUGGCAAGGCGGCGACAACCCUGCCAUCUUUCAUCGGUGAUGCUCCUCCCCCCGGGCCGCGGCAAGGCGUGUUGAUCCCGUAGUUCCUGGACGUGGGGAAGGUUGGCGCACAGGUACAAUGAGACGACGAUUCGGAAGGCUAGGUGAGCAUUAUGUUUGGUUUUUGGUGGUUGGUCUGUUGAUAACGAGAUUUAAGGUUUGGUGCUGCGAUUAGAAAAUUAUCCGAACGAGAGAAGGAAGAAGGAUUUUUCAGCAGCUAUUGAAGGUGCGAGCUAUUGCCAUGGAAAGGGUGUCUACCACUGAGACCUUAAGAUACUGACGACCGAAGCUUCUUUUUUCUUUUGAAGCAGUCCGGGCAUACGAUUAUCUAUCAUUAUUAUUUUCCAUGUAUCAUGUACUUCGCGAGAUAGCCAGUAUGGCUUGAUUGCUCUGUCUCUUUUCUUCCUGACUUAUCCCAAUAUUACAUGUUACAACCAAAAAACGUUCUUAUUGACCGGGAAGGCAACAUCAAAAUCUCUGAUUUUGGUCUCAGUGCUUUACCUCAACAUCUUGGGGUAUGAUAGACUUAUCGGUGAUUUCAUUGUAUUGAGCAUUAUAUUUUUAUUGAUUUUUAAACGAGGAUAUUUUAAUUUAAUUGAAUUUAAGAUCUGCAACUUUUCAAAAUGACGGAUUGCUGCAUACAACCUGUGGUAGCCCCAACUAUAUUGCACCUAAGGUUCUGCAGAACAGAGGAGAUUACAGAUCACUGUCGGGUAUCUAAUCUUGUGGAGUAACUAUUUACAUAAUUCUCGUAGGACACCUUCCAUUUGAUGAUCGAAUUAAGGUUGUUCUUUAUCAGAAGGUAGGCAGUCAUUAAAAACUUAAUACUUGAUCUUUGAAGCCAUUCCAAUAGUACUACUGUUAUCUGGUUGGAUGUAGAUUUCAAAGGGUGAUGCUCAGAUUGCGGAGUGGCUUUCGCCAAAAAGCUCUGAUCGGCUUUUCAUGCACUAGCUCAUCAAUUGCCACUUCGAAUCUGUUGUAUGUAGGUUAAGAUUCAGUUUCACCUACUGUCUAAUUUACAUGAAUGCCGGUAUCACUCCAUGGAUUAUAUAUUAAUCUACUUUAGUCACUGUUUCAGAUUUUGCCUUCAUGAUUAAUUAUAUGGAUGCUUAGUUGUAGCCAUCAUGCCUGUCAUAGUUCAAGUUUUUUACUUUUUCAUUCAUGCCGGUUGCACAUGGGGGAUGAGAUGACUUCUGCAUGUCUUCUAUUUUUGUAAAGUGUCUACCUGAGUUCUUCACAUGGUGCCUUGGUUUCAUUGGAAAUAUACUAAAAAGAUAUGUGCAUAUCAUGGAUCUUGUCGUGUCAACCAAAAACAGCUUCUUCUUAAAAGAUGGAUUUGUUUGAGCCUCAACUGGUGCAUCUUUUGCUGCAUCAACUAGGGCUGAAAGGACUAAAAUUAUUCAACUUUGUUACUAGGUAUCUGGUCAUAGGUAUUGUAAAUACUAAAUAGUAUGAUAUCCUUUUAUGAAACAAAUUUUCUUUCUGUUUGACAUUGAUGUGCUUGUGAUUUGCUUUCCAGGUUAUCUUUCUUGAGAACUUACUGGUUUACCAAUUUGAGAUUUGUUUCAUCAUGUUUUUAUACCAUGUCAUCAGGAUUUUCAUUUGUUCUUUUGCCAUACAAACAAGAUAUUGCAGUGCUUCAGGGUUUUCAGUUGUUCUUCUGCCAUACCAUCUGUGUGCGUGUAUAUUGCUGACAUACAGUUUCCUUUUUGUUGUGCAGAAGUGCUUAUAUUUUCUCAUGCCCUCAACUACUAUUUUAGCUUCAGUAUGCUCUGAGUAUAAGUAUAGCCGCUACAAUGGUCAGUACCAAGGGAACGAUCGAUAUAUUGUUAAAAGAAUGAAAGUAUGCCCUGCCUGAAGAUUUUAGCUUUCUUUUCGUUAAGAAGGUAGAAGGUUUCUGCCUGUUAACAUCAAUAUAAUUUCUAUGAUCUGCUACCCUUGUAUGUUUUCUCUUUGGUUAGACAAGAAGCUAUUGACGUUGGUCAGUAGAUCCCUCUUAAGUUCCAGAUGUGGAUGAAAUGCUUGUUUCUAGAUGUUUAGUCCAUCAAGUAGUUUGAACUCAUUUGGCUCCCAAUCCGCUUUCAGCUCUAAUGAUUUGGAUGACUACUCUCAAGGGAUUUGGCCUGCUUUAUGGUCAUUGAUUAACAAGGUUUUCAGUUGUAUAUGCAUGUGUGACAAGAAAAAAGCCGAAGGGGCGCCUCCCACCUGGCACCGCCCAGCUUCCUCUUAAGCGGCGCCACCGGGUGGCUCCCCAACCGCUAGUUCUUUUUAUUUCGUGCCCGCCUAGUUCAUGUGGAGCUGCUUUUGGGAAGUCUAGGACAAUGAUUGGUACCCAACCUCCUUCCCGAAUGGCACCAGUUGAUGAUAAUUGCACUGGCCAGGGCCACGAACUCGAUUUGCAAACUCAGUGGGUUCUUGCAACUUUGGAAGCCUCUCUCCAAGUGACAGGACAAGGUGGCCAUUGACAGAUUGACGAGGAAGCACACGGACGUGGCGACUAGACUUCUCAUGAUCAUUUAUCCCCCUCGAGGCUAUAUUAUGCACUUCACGUUUGUGGGCUUGUUGAGCUGUUGUGCCCAGCUUGUGCCGUACCUUUUUAUUUUCUUUUCUUUGUUUCCGUGGACCUCUGUUUUGCAGUUGAUUGUUGUGCUUCUGUUGUGGUUGCCUUAUAUAUAAAGGGGGACGUUGCACAA